rnacentral:rRNA from 1 species
GAUGAACGCUGGCGGCGGGCCUAACACAUGCAAGUCGAGCGAAGACUUCGGACUUUGCGGCGGCCGGGUGAGUAGCGGGUGGGAACAUUCACAUUGGUACGGAAUAGCUCCGGGAAACUGGGAGUAAUACCGCACGUGCCCUUCUGGGGAAAGAUUUAUCGCCAUAGAAUGGGCACGAGUUGGAUUAGGUAGUGGGGUGGGUAAUGGACUACCAAGCCGAGGAUCCAUAGCUGGUUAGAGAGGAUGGUCAGCGACACCUGGACUGGGACACGGCCCAGACUCUUACGCGAGGCAGCAAUGGGGGAUGUUAGAACAUCGGCGGAAGGAUGAUGUAGCCCGGCCGGGUGAACGAUGAAGGCCUGAGGGUUGUAAAGAGCUUGCAGUUGGGAAGAUAAUGACGGUACCCAAAGAAGAAGCCCCGGCUAACUCCGUG